rnacentral:rRNA from 1 species
GACGAACGCUGGCGGCGUGCCUAAUACAUGCAAGUAGAACGCACAGUUUAUACCGUAGCUUGCUACACCAUAAACUGUGAGUUGCGAACGGGUGAGUAACGCGUAGGUAACCUGCCUGGUAGCGGGGGAUAACUAUUGGAAACGAUAGCUAAUACCGCAUAAUAUUGAUUAUUGCAUGAUAAUUGAUUGAAAGAUGCUAUUGCAUCACUACCAGAUGGACCUGCGUUGUAUUAGCUAGUAGGUGAGGUAACGGCUCACCUAGGCGACGAUACAUAGCCGACCUGAGAGGGUGAUCGGCCACACUGGGACUGAGACACGGCCCAGACUCCUACGGGAGGCAGCAGUAGGGAAUCUUCGGCAAUGGACGAAAGUCUGACCGAGCAACGCCGCGGGAGUGAAGAAGGUUUUCGGAUCGUAAAGCUCUGUUGUAAGAGAAGAACGGGUGUGAGAGUGGAAAGUUCACACUGUGACGGUAUCUUACCAGAAAGAGACGGCUAACUACGUG